AAAAAGCAGCUAUAGCUUUGUUUAUAUUUUUGGCUAAAAAGCAGACAUGAGAGAAAAACACGGAAAAGUCAGAUGUCUGCUCUCUCAUGUCUGCUUUUUAGCCAAAAAUAUAAACAAAGCUAUAGCUGCUUUUUU